GGGGAAUUUUCCGCAAUGGGCGAAAGCCUGACGGAGCAAUACCGCGUGAGGGAGGAAGGCUCUUGGGUCGUAAACCUCUUUUCUCAGGGAAGAACACAAUGACGGUACCUGAGGAAUAAGCAUCGGCUAACUCCGUGCCAGCAGCCGCGGUAAUACGGAGGAUGCAAGCGUUAUCCGGAAUGAUUGGGCGUAAAGCGUCCGCAGGUGGCUGUGUAAGUCUGCUGUUAAAGAGUCUAGCUCAACUAGAUAAGAGCAGUGGAAACUACACGGCUAGAGUACGUUCGGGGCAGAGGGAAUUCCUGGUGUAGCGGUGAAAUGCGUAGAGAUCAGGAAGAACACCGGUGGCGAAGGCGCUCUGCUAGGCCGUAACUGACACUGAGGGACGAAAGCUAGGGGAGCGAAUGGGAUUAGAUACCCCAGUAGUCCUAGCCGUAAACGAUGGAUACUAGGCGUGGCUUGUAUCGACCCGAGCCGUGCCGUAGCUAACGCGUUAAGUAUCCCGCCUGGGGAGUACGCCGGCAACGGUGAAACUCAAAGGAAUUGACGGGGGCCCGCACAAGCGGUGGAGUAUGUGGUUUAAUUCGAUGCAACGCGAAGAACCUUACCAAGGCUUGACAUGUCGCGAAUCCUGGUGAAAGCUGGGAGUGCCUUCGGGAGCGCGAACACAGGUGGUGCAUGGCUGUCGUCAGCUCGUGUCGUGAGAUGUUGGGUUAAGUCCCGCAACGAGCGCAACCCUCGUUUUUAGUUGCCAGCAUUAAGUUGGGCACUCUAGAGAGACUGCCGGUGACAAACCGGAGGAAGGUGGGGAUGACGUCAAGUCAGCAUGCCCCUUACGCCUUGGGCUACACACGUACUACAAUGCUCCGGACAGAGGGCAGCAAGCCAGCGAUGGCAAGCAAAUCCCGAAAACCGGAGCUCAGUUCAGAUCGCAGGCUGCAACUCGCCUGCGUGAAGGAGGAAUCGCUAGUAAUUGCAGGUCAGCAUACUGCAGUGAAUUCGUUCCCGGGCCUUGUACACACCGCCCGUCACACCAUGGAAGCUGGUAGUGCCCGAAGUCAUUACUCCAACCUUUCGGGGAGGAGGAUGCCUAAGGCAGGACUGGUGACUGGGGUGAAGUCGUAACAAGGUAGCCGUACCGGAAGGUGUGGCUGGAUCACCUCCUU
rnacentral:rRNA from 1 species